GGGUGGCGGAGGCCCGGCGGCCUGGCAGGUUCAUUUACGCUUGUUAGGACGUCCCGGGGGGUUGUCUUUCUCCCAGAACGGAGUGUUUAUUUUUUAAUUGAUGUGCUGUUUCAUUUAGCGCUUGUAUGGAACUCAUGCUGGGGCUGUAAUUACUGUAAUCUCGGGAACAAGCGUUUCCGUGAGCCAGGAGGGUGGCACCAGCCUCCCCCUCUCCCUCCUCUGUCCCCCCCCCCCCCCCGCUCUAGCCCCUCCGCCCUCCUUUCUCUCACUCUCUUUUUCUCUUUCGGUUCCCUGAUUUUUGCUCUUUGUCACGAUUCACGCCAGGAACAAGUAGAAGCAGAGAACACAAGCUGCCAGGGCGUGGGGACAGAGAGGCCCAAAGCAACAGAGCCAGAUAAUCAUGGACCCAGAACCUCUGAAACUUGAACUCUGUUAAAGAUCUUCCUCCUCUACUUUCUGGCCCAUCAAGAGAAGGAUCCUGUAGGAGGGACAUACAUGGCUCUGUCUGCUGAAACAAGGCCAGCAUGCAAGUGAGUGGAAAUAAUGAGGUACCUACCAUGUGCCACUGUUUUGAAAUCAGAUGCUCGUGUUAUAGCAGGCGCCAUUUUGGAAAAUGGAAACUGCAUUGUCACCAGCUCUCUCAUUAAAGAUGAACUCUCACAUCCUCAUGCAAAACCCCAAAGAAUAAAGAGGGUGAAGUAGAAGGCUCUUGCUGUUCCACAGGAUUCCUAGGGGAACUUUCUGAAAUCCUAGGAUUCUGGUGAGUAUGGUUUGCAAAUUAUUCAUCUGGGCUAACAUUUCCUUAGUUCAUCUGUAAGAAUGUGGAAGCUCAGAGAGAUGAGCGAUUUUUUUUUUUUUAGGAUCAUAUGGCUAGCUGGAG
rnacentral:lncRNA from 1 species